UACGUAGGGGGCAAGCGUUGUCCGGAUUUAUUGGGCGUAAAGAGCGUGUAGGCGGCCAGAUAGGUCAGCUGUGAAAACUCGAGGCUCAACCUCGAGAUGUCGGCUGAAACCAUCUGGCUAGAGUCCGGAAGAGGAGAAUGGAAUUCCCGGUGUAGCGGUGAAAUGCGCAGAUAUCAGGAGGAACACCGAUGGCGAAGGCAGGUCUCUGGGCCGAUACUGACGCUGAGGAGCGAAAGCGUGGGGAGCGAACAGG
rnacentral:rRNA from 1 species